rnacentral:rRNA from 1 species
GUGCCAGCAGCCGCGGUAAUUCCAGCUCCAAUAGCGUAUAUUAAAGUUGUUGUGGUUAAAAAGCUCGUAGUUGAACCUUGGGCCUGGCUGGCCGGUCCGCCUCACCGCGUGCACUGGUCCGGCCGGGCCUUUCCCUCUGUGGAACCCCAUACCCUUCACUGGGCGUGGCGGGGAAACAGGACAUUUACUUUGAAAAAAUUAGAGUGCUCCAGGCAGGCCUAUGCUCGAAUACAUUAGCAUGGAAUAAUAAAAUAGGACGCGCGGUUCUAUUUUGUUGGUUUAUAGGACCGCCGUAAUGAUUAAUAGGGACAGUCGGGGGCAUCAGUAUUCAACUGUCAGAGGUGAAAUUCUUGGAUCAGUUGAAGACUAACUACUGCGAAAGCAUUUGCCAAGGAUGUUUUCAUUAAUCAGGAACGAAAGUUAGGGGAUCGAAGACGAUCAGAUACCGUCGUAGUCUUAACCAUAAACUAUGCCGACUAGGGAUCGGACGGUGUUAUUCAUGACCCGUUCGGCACCUUACGAGAAAUCAAAGUGCUUGGGCUCCAGGGGGAGUAUGGUCGCAAGGCUGAAACCUAAAGAAAUUGACGGAAGGGCACCACCAGGGGUGGAGCCUGCGGCUUAAUUUGACUCAACACGGGGAAACUCACCAGGUCCAGACACAAUAAGGAUUGACAGAUUGAGAGCUCUUUCUUGAUUUUGUGGGUGGUGUGCAUGGCCGUUCUUAGUUGGUGGGGUGACUUGUCUGCUUAAUUGCGAUAACGAACGAGACCUUAACCUGCUAAAUAGCCCGCAUUGCUCCGGCAGUG